UAUUAGAAAGCGAAGUAUCGCACUUAGUUUCGGCCUAAGCUUUGGUUUAAUUCAAUUUACCUCUAAUUU
rnacentral:tRNA from 1 species